rnacentral:lncRNA from 10 species
GAUGUGCACAAACCACUGUGAAGGAAUGCUGAGUGCAGGAAGGCGUCAAGACCAGGAAGCAAAGCUCUUUUGCCUUCAGAGUCCAGGGAUGGCUCUUUACCUGAAAUUCAUGGCUGCACGCCUCUCAGAAGCCUCUGGGCUCCAUCAUACCUUUUUUCCAGGCAUUCUUUUUGAAAUCAGCUUUCCCUGCCACCACCUCAGACUACAUCCGCGAUUUUCUCAUGAAAGAACUAAAGCUUGAAAACCAUGGGGUCACUGAGAGAAGGAGCCUGAAGAGAGAAAAGGAUGAAGGACCCAAAAAAGACUAACAUUUAACAGAUGGGAUGUGAAACAGAACCAGAGCCAGCGUCUUCCUUUGUUGCCCAGACUGGUCUUGAACUCUUGGCUUCCAGAGAUCCUCCUGCCUUUGCCUCCCAAAGUGAUGGAAUUACAGGUGUGAGCCACCAUGCCCAGCCUUGGGAAAUUCUGAACACUGAAAUUAAAUGGAUAAUUUCCUAUAGAAAUUCUACAGACAGAUUCAAAUAUAUAAUUAAAAGGUUGUUCUUACAGUAAUGUGAUGGGAAAAUAAUCUCAGAUAACAAGAUCCAUGAAACACGUUGUUUUCAUCCUCUGGGCUGAGAAUACUUUUUUAAAGAUAUAAUUCAGCUAAUGGGAAAAAGAAUCAAAAUAAACAACUCAAGACUUGGUAACUUUUUUCUCUAAAAAAGUAAAAGAAAUAUGGGUUAACACUGAGAUUCAGUUAAACAGAGA